ACGUCAAGUCCUCAUGGCCCUUAUGGGCUGGGCUACACACGUGCUACAAUGGCGGUGACAGAGGGCAGCGAGGUCGCGAGGCCGAGCGAAUCCCGAAAAGCCGUCCCAGUUCGGAUCGUACCCUGCAACUCGGGUGCGUGAAGCUGGAAUCGCUAGUAAUCGCGGAUCAGCACGCCGCGGUGAAUACGUUCCCGGGCCUU
rnacentral:rRNA from 1 species